AGGCACACCACAUCCAAGAGCCACCUUAAUUUGGAAAUGGAUUGAAGUAUGACUCCACUCAUAAUUCCAUAACUAGCCUCCCAGGUCCUUUAGGAUCCAUGCUCUCACACUGGAGAUAGAAAAUUAAGGAAGAAAGUAUACUUUUCCAGCGUGGGUCCCAUGCCCAAGCCUUUGUCAGAAGAGGGCAGGACACCAUAAUUGACAUUUACAACACGACGGAAUUCAAUAGGAAAAGUGAAUGCUACAAGACAAUCGGGGAGAAGGAGUAGACACGUCAAAACUACAGCCAUUUAAUAUUCAGACGGAUGGUUGGGAAGAUGGAAGGAUGCUUGGAUACUUGGCAGGCCCGAGUUUCAGCUCCGGUCCACGAGGGGGCGCGAAGAGCCAGCUUGCGCGGGUUCCGCCCGGGGGGAACCGCCGCUCUAGCCCUCAGCCGCACCUCAACUGCAUUUCCGGCGGCGUGUACCGGAUGGAGGGCGGAUCCUGCAUCCGAGUCGCCGGGAACUGUGCAGCACCACCUCACAUCGUCUCCUUUGACCUGCAGUCGGCAGUUCCGGCGCCCCGGGCCCUGCGCCGAUGAAGACCCUCUCUCGGACGGCUUUGCGGGCCCUGCCUCUGGCAGCGCCCCCUCCUCUCCGGCAGGACCCCGACCCGCUGCCUGCCGCGCCCUUACUGUGUCCGGGGUCGGAGCCGUCCCCUGGGAUCCAGCUUCCUGAACCUGUACAAUGUCAUCAGAGUUUGCACAAAAGGUGACGUGAACAGCCCUCCCUGUCUCAGAUGCAGAUGAGCCGUUGUCGCACAUGGAGCAGUGAACUUCCGUCCUGCUCAUGAGAAGAUGAGUCCACUGUGUGCAGAGGUGUCAUGGAAGUGGUCACGUGAGGAGCGUUCUAGACCCCAGUGUCCUUGAGGGGUGCUGCCUUGGAGGAAGCCUCAAGCGGUGGAGGCUCUGGCCUCUCAGGAUGGUGACCUGGGUUCCAGCUCCCCUGGAGGGGCCUCCUCAUAGUUGUUUUGGGGCUGAUCACGGAUGCUGGCGUAGCAGAGGGAAGAGGGGUGUUGCUGCAUGAACGUCACCGACCUUUUCCUGUUACCUCAGCACAGUAUGGAAGGACUUGGCCCUUGUGAGCAGGGCAGAGGAAAAGUCCUAGCACUCUGGGGACUUGGGAUUCAGAACUGGAGGCCUUCGGCUGUCUCUGCCCCUCCCCAGCAGGUGCCACAGAGCACCGUGGACCCAGAAGACUGCUUCCCUUCCGUCAGGACCAGGUCAUCCAGUGGCCUCUGUGUCCCCCGUCUGCUUCUGGUGUAACUUUUUAGAAACAAGAGCUCCUGUUGGAGUCAUCUGUACUGGGCAUCUUGUCCUCUCACCCACUUCAAUAAAUCUUAAAACUGCC